CGAAAGCCUGACGGAGCAACGCCGCGUGUGGGAGGACGGCCUUCGGGUUGUAAACCACUUUUCUCAGGGAAGAAGCUCUGACGGUACCUGAGGAAUCAGCCUCGGCUAACUCCGUGCCAGCAGCCGCGGUAAUACGGAGGAGGCAAGCGUUAUCCGGAAUUAUUGGGCGUAAAGCGUCCGCAGGUGGCGAUUCAAGUCUGCUGUCAAAGCCAAGAGCUCAACUCCUGUCCGGCAGUGGAAACUGACCCACUCGAGGGUGGUAGGGGUAGAGGGAAUUCCCAGUGUAGCGGUGAAAUGCGUAGAGAUCGGGAAGAACAUCGGUGGCGAAAGCGCUCUACUGGACGGCAACUGACACUCAGGGACGAAAGCUAGGGGAGCG
rnacentral:rRNA from 1 species